CACCGAUAGAGUUGGGAAGCAGAGUGAAGAGUGAACUCCUGAAACUAAAUUAACCUAAAUUAAUCACACAAUGUCAAAGUCUUGGCCAACUUAUACUGCACCACGUCUUGUGGAUCUGAAUAACCCUCUAGGACACCAAACAGAGCCUUGCAUCUCCACACUGGUGAAGAUGACUCCAGAUGGAAGAAUAGAGGGAAGAAAGAGAAGGGACUUAACUGAAAGAGUGGACAAAUCCCCGAAAAAAAGCAAAAGCAGUGGAAGUCCAAAACCGGGUCCCAGCCACAUUGUUUCUGGGGAAUCCAGUUGGAAAUUUGGCCUUCUCAUAGUCCCUUCAAGCGACUCUAGUAUAUUUAAGAUGAGCAACAAACGGAAGAGCACUAGUGGCGAAUCUGAGGGACCAUCCAGCAAAGAAGCAGGACAACGAGCCCAGAGGAGAGUCCCACCCAGGAACCCUCUGAAACGUGUGACUCACCCAGGAUAUCCGGCACUGACAGAAGAGAAGACUUCCUGGAAAAAUAUCAACAGCUGGAGGUGCUGGGUCAAGGAGGCUUUGCCACCGUGUUUUCUGGAAUACGCAUAAAAGACAGUUUUCCAGUGGCAAUCAAACAUGUCAACCAGCGCAGAGUUGUGCGCACAACAAUGGAUUGGAACGGAAAAGUAGUGAUAUUCCCCUGGAGGUGGCGCUACUGAUACAAGUUGGGGCUGGACCACACGAUACGGAAAGCAGUAUAACCCCACUUCUACUUGACUGGUUUGAUCUGGAAGAUGAGCUUAUUAUGGUUUUUGAGAAACCAGAAAAUUGCAUGGACUUAAACAAAUACCUCGAAACUACAGAUAAACCUCUGUCAGAGACACAUGUUAAAGUCAUAAUGAAACAAUUAGUCGAUGCAGCCAUUACGAUGGAUUACAAGGGGUUUU
ensembl:lncRNA